rnacentral:lncRNA from 1 species
AAGCAGUGGGUGUAAUCCCUAUUUCAUCCCUGGUAUCAUUUCAGUAGACGAGUUUUGUUGGUUUCCCCAGCCGAGUUUGUUGGCCUCCCUUGAGUUGUAGACGUGUUAUUUCGGCAGUUUGCACAGCUUUGGCAGAACUUUAAUUCCCCCGCAAAUCGUCAAAGUUACACCUGAUUUUGAGUAGUUAUUAUGUUAAUCCCCUGCAGGGUUGUCUCCCAUUUGAUAUGGUGUUGACCUAAUUCCCCAUCGAGUUUG